rnacentral:rRNA from 1 species
AUUGAACGCUGGCGGCAUGCCUUACACAUGCAAGUCGAACGGUAACGGGCCUUCGGGUGCCGACGAGUGGCGAACGGGUGAGUAAUGCAUCGGAACGUACCUUUCAGUGGGGGAUAACGUAGCGAAAGUUACGCUAAUACCGCAUAUUCUGUGAGCAGGAAAGCAGGGGAUCGCAAGACCUUGCGCUGAUUGAGCGGCCGAUGUCAGAUUAGCUAGUUGGUGAGGUAAAGGCUCACCAAGGCGACGAUCUGUAGCGGGUCUGAGAGGAUGAUCCGCCACACUGGAACUGAGACACGGUCCAGACUCCUACGGGAGGCAGCAGUGGGGAAUUUUGGACAAUGGGGGCAACCCUGAUCCAGCCAUGCCGCGUGAGUGAAGAAGGCCUCGGUUGUAAGCUCUUCGCCGGGACGAAUACGCAUGGGCGUAAUACCCUGUGCGGAUGACGGUACCGGCAUAAGAAGCACCGGCGUAACUACGUGCCAGCAGCCG